GCCCCCAUCGUCUAAAGGCUAGGACACUGCCUUCUCAGGGCAGAAAUGCGGGUUCGAAUCCCGCUGGGGGCA
rnacentral:tRNA from 1 species